AUUUAUAUAGUUUAAAUAAAACCUAUCAUUUUCAAUGAUAAAUUAGGGGUUCCCUUAUAAAUA
rnacentral:tRNA from 1 species